rnacentral:rRNA from 1 species
UACGUAGGGUGCAAGCGUUGUCCGGAAUUAUUGGGCGUAAAGAGCUCGUAGGCGGUUUGUCGCGUCUGCUGUGAAAACUCGGGGCUUAACUCCGGGCCUGCAGUGGGUACGGGCAGACUAGAGUGCGGUAGGGGAGAUUGGAAUUCCUGGUGUAGCGGUGAAAUGCGCAGAUAUCAGGAGGAACACCGGUGGCGAAGGCGGGUCUCUGGGCCGUAACUGACGCUGAGGAGCGAAAGCGUGGGGAGCGAACAGG